GACGAACCACACAAACGUUAUUCGGAAUUACUGGGCUUAAAGGGUGCGUAGGCUGCGCGGAAAGUUGGGUGUGAAAUCCCUCGGCUCAACCGAGGAACUGCGCCCAAAACUACCGUGCUCGAGGAAGAUAGAGGUGAGCGGAACUUACGGUGGAGCGGUGAAAUGCGUUGAUAUCGUAAGGAACACCCGUGGCGAAAGCGGCUCACUGGGUCUUUUUCUGACGCUGAUGCACGAAAGCUAGGGGGAGCAAACGGG
rnacentral:rRNA from 1 species